UCCCUUCGCACGCCCGAUCCACCCCUUCGCCCCCGCUGGACAUCCAUCCCUGUGCCGCGACCGAUCCUAACUUUCGCCGUCUCCCUCGCACAUCAAAGCCGCCGCCCGUCCAUCGUACGAUCUGCUUCAGGAUCGCUUCAGGAGACGGCAAUCUAAUUCAGGAUCGCUUCAGGAGACGGCGCCGCGUUCCCUCUGGUCCAUGGCCUCGACCAGUUUGCUAUGAUCUGGCAACGGGGAUGCAAGGAGAAGCUGCUGCGGUUUCAAGGGGCCGUGAGGAUGCCCACCAUGAAGGCAUGUCUGGGAUGAUGGAGGUGAUAUCGGCCAGGUCCCGUUGCCGUCGACUGGCGGCGGCCACCGUGUCCUCUUCCAUGGCGUCGGCGGGGCCUUCCCCUGCCAAGCGCAGCGGCUCCUUGGCUAGAUCACCGUCGCACACCUCGCCGGCGUGGUCGGCAAGAUCUGCAUCUCGAUCCUCGCCACUCUCCGUCCUCUUGCAGGGGGCAGGUAUGCAUUCAGAUGUUGCAGCUCUAAGGAAGGGUAGUAUAUGGCACAUGGCAUCGUGGGUUGUUCGACAAGAAGUGUUUUGGGCAUAUUCGAAAGGCAAUCUUGUGAAAACUGUACAUCGAUUUUCUUAUUCCGCCAUCAGCUUCUAUUGAUAUGAGUGAUACAAAAAGUUCAGCAUGAAUUUUAGUAUGUUAACUUGCAAGAUUUCUCGUGGCUAUGUUUUUUUGUUAUAGGUUUAUAAAUUUCGAAAUAUAGUUGCAGCUUCACGGAAUGGACGGCCCAAAUUAUGUUAGUGUCUAUAUGUUUACUUGGUGGUGGUCUAGCGUGAGUGACACCUGCAUCUGUAACUUACCCAUUGGAUGUUGUUCGAAAUCACCUGACAACACAGAAAACCACUAGGUAUUACAAGGGCAUCUUUCACACGUUGUCUACAAUUUGUAGAGAAGAGAGUGGUAGAGGAUUGUAUAAAGGCCUUUGGUCCACCUUAUUGGGAGUUGGACCUGAUAUAUCAAUCAACGUUUAUUUAUAUGAAGCCUUGAGGUCUCAUUGGCAAAUGGAAAGUUGAAUGUCAAACUGUGCGACCAAUGAUUUGCUAUGGUUAAUUCUAGUUGGGUGUGUUAACCUACAGUAAUCAAUCAAGUCAACAAAUAUAACAAUGAUACUUUGUCUUCUGAUUUUUGGUGGUGAUUUUUUUUGUGACUGAACUAACAGGAGCUGAAGCAUGUGUUCUUAUUUUUUAUAUGACUAGGUGCAUAUGAACUGAAGCUCCAUAAUUUUCUUUUUAAGUCGACAUUGGUGGCAACCAAUACAAUUAGCGUUAUUUACAACCAA